rnacentral:misc_RNA from 1 species
UUUCCGUAGGUGAACCUGCGGAAGGAUCAUUAUUGUAUAACCGAGGUGCGAGGGCUGUCGCUGACCCGAAAGGUCGUGCACGCCCGAGUGCCCUCACACACAUCCAUCUCACCCCUAUGUGCACCACCGCGUGGGUCCCCCUUUGGCUUGUUCGGAGGGGGGCUUACGUUUUCACACAAACUUUGUAUGCAGUGUAGAAUGUAUUUUUUGUUUUUGCGAUCACGCAAUCAAUACAACUUUCAACAACGGAUCUCUUGGCUCUCGCAUCGAUGAAGACCGCAGC